UCAACAGAGGCCCUGGGGAUUAGCAAUUCACUUAGUAUUCCAAGGCACCCUUGUCCCAGUAAGGAGGUAUUUAAGUCAUUGUCAGGGUCAGCAUUCUCAGCUGCCUGUGAUUCCCAGGGCUGCCAUAACAGAGUACCCAAACCUGAGAAAUGUGGAACAACAGAAACGCAUUUCAAAAGAUUUAUUUUUUUAUUUUUAUUUAUGUGUGUAUGUCUGUGUGAGUGUAUGUGGGUGUCUAUGGAGGCCAGAAGAGGUCAUUGGAUCUCUUGGAACAGGAGAUGGGCAUUUGUGAGCUGCCCAAUGAAGAGAGAAGCAGGAGUAAAUGUGGACUCUUUACAAGAUGUAUACACUUACUGGACAGCUUGCCGACCUAGCAAAGAAAACCAAGAAGUAGGCAUGCGAUGGAGGAUAAGUAUCGGAAUAGUGCCAUGACCCAGAAAGCAAGGAGGGGCCUCAAGAAGGGAGAGAGGAGUCCUGUGAAAGAUGGGAAAUGAUCAGAAGAUGAGGCUGGGAGCUGGAGAUGAGGCUCAGUUGGCAAAGAGCUUGCUUGGCAUGUAUGAGGCCCUGGGUUCAAUCCCGGCACUAUAUAAAACAGGCAUGGAUGGAGUGCUGGAUGCCCGUGAUGCCCGCACUCAGGAGGUAAAGGCAGGAGAAUUAGGAGUGCAAGAUCCUUCUUAGCUACAUGGAAACCAGAGCUGAAGGCAGUGGGACAGGAGCUUUGGAAAGUCCCUCACUUUGGAAGGUCAAGGCUGGAGACACUUGACCUACUUCUGUUCUGUGCUUAUGAUAGAGCAACAGUGUAGACUGGGAGUUCUGGAAGGCCGAGUCCUACCCCUGGGUCCAUCGGAGACCUGACAGCUGGAAGGCCUUGGGCACAAGGGCUCUCAGAAGGUUCUAGAGUCUCUGACUGGUCAACCUAGAGGACACCUUUCUUCCAAGUUGGACUGAUGGAUCCAUGAUAGAGAGUUUCAGGGUGGGUAAUGACCAGCAGAUGCAGCUCCAGGAAGCUCAGAGCCAAAGCACUUUCCAAAUCUGCUAGACAGGAUCUCCUUCUCCUCUAUAAUGAGAAACUGUCCUAUCCCAGGCCCAGAGCCAAAUGCUGAGAAGACAUACCAAAAGGGAAUCAAAUGCCUGACCUCUCAAGAAGCCAUGGACAAUGGAGAAGACAGACAGACAGACAGAACAGAGGCAAUGAUCUGUGUAAUCAAGCACAUUGCUGCAGUUUUCUAUCAGAAUUUUCUUCUUUCUAAGGCAGAGCGAGACUUCACUGUGUGAACGUGCAACACAUUUUGUUUAUUCUGUCAACCGUGAUGGACAUUGCUACUGCUUUUGCCUUUGGUCUAGUGUGGAGAGCUGUUGUGAACUUAGGGGCACACUCCUUUUCCUUUUACAAGUGAAAAAAUAUACAAUCAAGGAAAGUAGACCCCCAAAGAGACAGAAUGGAAAGAUCUCAGCUAGCAGUGAGAAGGGGUUAGAGAGGACUCCCCGUGAGGAAGCCACGCUUUUUUUCCCUUUUCUGGAACUGAGAGGAUGAGAAAUCAGCUAAGUUAAAUGUAAGUGAAGAUGAGCUUCAGCCACACGUGACAGCCUCGAACCUACAGGAAUGUUGGGUUAUUUCAGAAAAGGGAAUGGGGCUGAUAUGACGUAGGUAUAGAGAGGAAGGAG